GCAUUGCUGAUGAGUCUCAAACAGGACAAAACAGCUGUCCAGUGC
rnacentral:hammerhead_ribozyme from 1 species